UCCUUAGUGGCUCAGAUGGUAAAGAGUCUGCCUGCCAUGCAGCAGACUCAGGUUCGAUCCCUGGGUUGGGAA
rnacentral:tRNA from 1 species